rnacentral:rRNA from 1 species
AUUGAACGCUGGCGGCAUGCCUUACACAUGCAAGUCGAACGGCAGCACGGGUGCUUGCACCUGGUGGCGAGUGGCGAACGGGUGAGUAAUACAUCGGAACAUGUCCUGUAGUGGGGGAUAGCCCGGCGAAAGCCGGAUUAAUACCGCAUACGAUCCACGGCUGAAAGCGGGGGACCUUCGGGCCUCGCGCUAUAGGGUUGGCCGAUGGCUGAUUAGCUAGUUGGUGGGGUAAAGGCCUACCAAGGCGACGAUCAGUAGCUGGUCUGAGAGGACGACCAGCCACACUGGGACUGAGACACGGCCCAGACUCCUACGGGAGGCAGCAGUGGGGAAUUUUGGACAAUGGGCGAAAGCCUGAUCCAGCAAUGCCGCGUGUGUGAAGAAGGCCUUAGGGUUGUAAAGCACUUUUGUCAGGAAAGAAAUCCAGGGCUCUAAUACAGUCGGGGGAUGACGGUACCGGAAGAAUAAGCACCGGCUAACUACGUG